UACGGGGGGGGCAAGCGUUGUUCGGAAUUACUGGGCGUAAAGGCUCGUAGGCGGCCAACUAAGUCAGACGUGAAAUCCCUCGGCUUAACCGGGGAACUGCGUCUGAUACUGGAUGGCUUGAGUUUGGGAGAGGGAUGCGGAAUUCCAGGUGUAGCGGUGAAAUGCGUAGAUAUCUGGAGGAAUACCGGUGGCGAAGGCGGCAUCCUGGACCAUUACUGACGCUGAGGCGCGAAAGCUAGGGGAGCAACGGG
rnacentral:rRNA from 1 species